AUUGAACGCUGGCGGCAGGCCUAACACAUGCAAGUCGAACGAGUGGCGGACGGGUGAGUACUGUCUGGGAAACUGCCCGAUGGAGGGGGAUAACUACUGGAAACGGUAGCUAAUACCGCAUACCAUCGGAUGUGCCCAGAUGGGAUUAGCUAGUAGGUGGGGUAAUGGCUGACCUAGGCGACGAUCCCUAGCUGGUCUGAGAGGCUGACCAGCCACACUGGCACUGAGACACGGUCCAGACUCCUACGGGAGGCAGCAGUGGGGAAUAUUGCACAAUGGGGGCAAGCCUGAUGCAGCCAUGCCGCGUGUGUGAAGAAGGCCUUCGGGUUGUAAAGCACUUUCAGCGAGGAGGCGUUACUCGCAGAAGAAGCACCGGCUAACUCCGUGCCAGCAGCCGCGGUAAUAC
rnacentral:rRNA from 1 species